GCAGGCUCUAAUGGGAAACAAAAACCGAGCAGCAUCACCAUCUUUUGCUUCUUCUUCUUCUUCUUCACGUACAUGUCUAUGCUCUCCUUCCACACAUCCAGGCUCAUUCCGAUGCAGCCUGCACAGGGGGAGGGGCCCACAAGCUGGGAAAUCAAGCAGUUCUACAAUCACAGCCGUCCAUCAUGUUAACAACCAAUCCACGAAGAUGAAGAUGAUGAAGAAACUGAUGAUGACCAACUCCAAAGCACACCUUCUCAAUGCCUUUCUCAAACUGAUGAUCAAGCCCUCCAGCCAUCACCUUCAAAGGAGGAUGAAUUUCAAGCCCAAGCCCACCAGGUUUUGUUUGAUGAACGUAUAG
rnacentral:lncRNA from 1 species